GAUGAACGCUGGCGGCGUGCCUAAUACAUGCAAGUCGAGCGAACAGACGAGGAGCUUGCUCCUCUGACGUUAGCGGCGGACGGGUGAGUAACACGUGGAUAACCUACCUAUAAGACUGGGAUAACUUCGGGAAACCGGAGCUAAUACCGGAUAAUAUAUUGAACCGCAUGGUUCAAUAGUGAAAGACGGUUUUGCUGCCACUUAUAGAUGGAUCCGCGCCGCAUUAGCUAGUUGGUAAGGUAACGGCUUACCAAGGCAACGAUGCGUAGCCGACCUGAGAGGGUGAUCGGCCACCCUGGAACUGAGACACGGUCCAGACUACUACGGGAGGCAGCAGUAGGGAAUCUUCCGCAAUGGGCGAAAGCAUGACGGAGCAACGCCGCGUGAGUGAUGAAGGUCUUCGGAUCGUAAAACUCUGUUAUUAGGGAAGAACAAAUGUGUAAGUAACUAUGCACGUCUUGACGGUACCUAAUAAGAAAGCCACGGCUAACUACGUG
rnacentral:rRNA from 1 species